CGGCUCAGUAACACGUAGUCAACCUGCCCUGGAGACAAGGACAACCCCGGGAAACUGGGAUUAAUCCUCGAUAGGUCAUCUCAUCUGGAAGGAGAGAUGGCUUAAAGGGGUACGAGGGCUUCUUACCACGUAUUCGCUCCAGGAUGGGACUGCGACCGAUCAGGCUGUUGGCGGGGUAAUGGCCCACCAAACCUGUAACCGGUACGGGCCUUGAGAGAGGUGGCCCGGAGAUGGACACUGAGAGAAGGGUCCAGGUCCUACGGGGCGCAGCAGGCGCGAAACCUUCGCAAUGCGCGAAAGCGUGACGAGGUUAAUCCGAGUGACUCCCGCUGAGGGGGUCUUUUGUCAGCUGUAAAUAGGCAGGCGAAUAAGGGGAGGGCAAGCCUGGUGUCAGCCGCCGCGGUAAUACCAGCUCCUCGAGUGGUCGGGACGAUUAUUGGGCCUAAAGCAUCCGUAGCCGGUUCCGUAGGUCUUCUGUUAAAUCCAACAGCUUAACUGUUGACCUGCAGAGGAUACCGCGGGACUAGGAGGCGGGAGAGGCGGACGGUACUCCGCGUGUAGGGGUAAAAUCCUUUGAUCCGCGGAAGACCACCAGUGGCGAAGGCGGUCCGCCAGAACGCGCUCGACGGUGAGGGAUGAAAGCUGGGGGAGCGAACCGGAUUAGAUACCCGGGUAGUCCCAGCCGUAAACGAUGCUAGCUAGAUGAUUCAUUCGCAAGUCGCGAAUGAAGUGUCGCAGGGAAGCCGUUAAGCUAGCCGCCUGGGGGAGUACGGUCGCAAGACUGAAACUUAAAGGAAUUGGCGGGGGGGAG
rnacentral:rRNA from 1 species